UGUUCGGUUAGCCCAUUCCCGGCCGGAAAUAGUGACUAAACCCUGUGGAUCCCUCCCAUCUGGAAACAAGUCCUGUCUACAGGAAAAGGAGCCUUCGAUUAAACCCGACGUGGGUUGUAUCCCGCUCGUUCCUCGUCGUUCCAGGCCGGUAACCACGCCCUGUCCUUCCGGGGUGGAAAAUAUCCCAGCCUGAAAACCACACCGGAAGGGCACGCGACGGCGGUGGCACGGAUACGAAAUUCUUCAAUCCGGCGUCGAUCUGCUCCGGCGACCGCCUUCUCACUGGUAUGCUUCUUCCUCCCUGCUUCUGGUGCCCGGCGGAGACAUUCCGUCCGCGCGUCGAGUUGUGGAGUCUAAUUUCAGGCUCAGCCACAUGACCACAUGUGUUUUUCCCCGGCGACAAGGACGUCGCAGAAGUCAACGCGGUCUUCUUGAUGUCCCGUGCCUCCGCCUCUCGUCCCUGCUUCUGGUGCCGAAGCACUCUCCGCUACGUGGCCGACUGGCUGAUCUGCUCCCGGUUCAGUUUCGUGUGGAUGUCUGGUUUUGCUUGCUUGCUUGCGCUCUCCUCCUUUGUAACCAGGUGUGAUACAGAUACAACCAUGUGGUGCAAGGUCGUGGCGGCUGGGUGACGCCGCCAUGCUGCAACCAGGUGUUCCCCCUAGCUCCCUCGUCGUCACUGCCACAACGAGGCUACGUGAAGCUAGUCUCAUUUUUUUACGACAGAGAAAGGGCAGUAGUACCAACGCCUGGAUUGUUAUUAAGCUGCUUGCUGAUCAUGUAUAUGUGUCCACUCAAUUCAACCAGGGCUGGCGGCAAGGAAAUCUUUGUCCACUCUGUCAAGUGUGGUACGCUUUGCUUAAGCCAAUUUGAUUAUUUUUUUGAGUUGGGUGGUCAUUCAAUGUUGCCCAAUAUGCAACGCAGCAGUGGUCAUUUCGAAUUGAAUGUUCUUACAUUCUACUCUCUGAGUGGAAAGAAUGCAACUCCAAGUUCAGUCACCUUUUUUGUCUCUAAUGAAAUUCUUUCAGGGACCUUUACAACUAAUUUUAACAACUAAUUUAUCAAAAUAAAUGAGUAAUACAUUUAGCUUCUGUUCUUGAUGUGUGAGUCUAGUUUGAGAGUUUAAACUGAAUCUUAGAAUGCUAUAGAGAUUCAAAAAAAAUUAUUAUUUCUUUAUUUCAAAUAUGUCUGAAACAUACAAUACUGUUGUUUUUCGAAACCAGUUGGAGGAUCAGUAGUGCAGUCCAGUCCUUCCCAGGCAAAAGCUUAUGCGUUCAGCAUGCUUUCAGUUUUCUAGCAGUAGUUUUCUUUCAGUCUUUCAGUUUUUAUAUUUGUAUUUUUUCCCUGUCAAAUCAUUUCUUCGCUAUAAUUGCAACUGUACAAUAUAUUGUGAUACCUUGUAUUUUACUUGAUCAAUUGACAAAUAUGCUUCACUAUGUAUACAGAUGAAAUUUUAGAUUUUACGUGAUAUAUCAAUAUGAAAUUGAUGGGCCUAAGAAAUUCAGAGAAUUCAGAGAAGUAUUGAAUUGUUGCCGGACUUGCUUCUUUUGUUUUCUUGUUGAAUUCUGUUGUAUAUGGCAGGGAUCAACCGAAUGAAUAUUUUGAGGCAGGGAUUAAA